rnacentral:tRNA from 1 species
GCCGAGGUGGUGAAAUUGGUAUACACGCAAGACUUAAAAUCUUGUGGCCGCAAGGCCUUGCGGGUUCGAGUCCCGCCCCCGGCA